rnacentral:rRNA from 1 species
GGCGGCGUGCUUACACAUGCAGUCGAGCGGAAGGCCCUUCGGGGUACUCGAGCGGCGAACGGGUGAGUAACACGUGAGUAACCUGCCCCUGACUCUGGGAUAAGCCCGGGAAACUGGGUCUAAUACCGGAUACGACCGCCCCAGGCAUCUGGUGGUGGUGGAAAGUUUUUUCGGUUGGGGAUGGACUCGCGGCCUAUCAGCUUGUUGGUGGGGUAAUGGCCUACCAAGGCGACGACGGGUAGCCGGCCUGAGAGGGCGACCGGCCACACUGGGACUGAGACACGGCCCAGACUCCUACGGGAGGCAGCAGUGGGGAAUAUUGCGCAAUGGGCGAAAGCCUGACGCAGCGACGCCGCGUGGGGGAUGACGGCCUUCGGGUUGUAAACCUCUUUCAGCAGGGACGAAGUUGACGUGUACCUGCAGAAGAAGCGCCGGCUAACUACGUGCCAGCAGCCGCGGUAAUACGUAGGGCGCAAGCGUUGUCCGGAAUUAUUGGGCGUAAAGAGCUCGUAGGUGGCUGGUCGCGUCUGCCGUGAAAGCCCGCAGCUUAACUGCGGGUCUGCGGUGGAUACGGGCCGGCUAGAGGUAGGUAGGGGCAAGUGGAAUUCCUGGUGUAGCGGUGAAAUGCGCAGAUAUCAGGAGGAACACCGGUGGCGAAGGCGGCUUGCUGGGCCUUACCUGACGCUGAGGAGCGAAAGCGUGGGGAGCGAACAGGAUUAGAUACCCUGGUAGUCCACGCUGUAAACGUUGGGCGCUAGGUGUGGGGAUCUUCCACGAUCUCCGUGCCGGAGCUAACGCAUUAAGCGCCCCGCCUGGGGAGUACGGCCGCAAGGCUAAAACUCAAAGGAAUUGACGGGGGCCCGCACAAGCGGCGGAGCAUGUUGCUUAAUUCGACGCAACGCGAAGAACCUUACCAAGGUUUGACAUCACCCGGAAACGUGCAGAGAUGUGCGCCUCUUCGGACUGGGUGACAGGUGGUGCAUGGCUGUCGUCAGCUCGUGUCGUGAGAUGUUGGGUUAAGUCCCGCAACGAGCGCAACCCUUGUUCCAUGUUGCCAGCAACCUCUUCGGAGGGUUGGGGACUCAUGGGAGACUGCCGGGGUCAACUCGGAGGAAGGUGGGGAUGACGUCAAGUCAUCAUGCCCCUUAUGUCUUGGGCUGCAAACAUGCUACAAUGGCCGGUACAGAGGGCUGCUAAGCCGUAAGGUGGAGCGAAUCCCUAAAAGCCGGUCUCAGUUCGGAUUGGGGUCUGCAACUCGACCCCAUGAAGUCGGAGUCGCUAGUAAUCGCAGAUCAGCAACGCUGCGGUGAAUACGUUCCCGGGCCUUGUACACACCGCCCGUCACGUCACGAAAGUCGGCAACACCCGAAGCCCGUGGCCCAACCAGCUUGCUGGGGGGAGCGGUCGAAGGUGGGGCUGGCGAUUGGGACGAAGUCGUAACAAG